GCCUGUGACAUCAGCAUUCUAGAAAGUGGGACAGGAGGGCCUGGAGUUAGAGGCCAGUCUGGGCUAUGUAAUUUGACUAUGUCACAAAAGUAGGGAGAUAAAAGGGGAGAUGAGUGAAGAAAUGAAGGUGAAGGCUGUGUAGCAGGAUCAACCAUGUUGGCAGCUGCUCCUGGAAGCUGUAAUUUGCUGAUUUUUUUUUUCUGUAUUGUUAAAAUCUCUGCCCUGUCUGUCCUGUUCCUUAACCUCAUUCUUUGUUUCCCCCUCACGUCGGAGCUGGAUUCCCACAAGGUAGCUCAGGCUGCAGACUCUCCAGUGUUGGGCAAGUUACAGGUAAUGAAGCUACUGUUGCUUGUCCAGGCCACACUUUCAGAAGUGUUGAUCUAGCAUGCCUGCCUGAGUUUACUGGAACACAGAAACUCAGAGACAGAAAGUGGUCAACUGCCAUGGAACUGAAAGGACACAGAUUCCUGUCACCUGGUGGAUCCCAUGAGUCACCUGGUGGAUCCCAUGAGUCAUACGAUAGAUCCCAUGAGUCCUAAGCCACUGAACAGGGCCACUCCAUCGCCCUCCACUUCGUCUUUGGCUGUUGCUGUCCUGUGUGAACUCUUAAGUGAGGACUUAAAGUGCUCCCAGUGUCCUUCUGAGCUCUGCUUUGCUUUGGCUAGGCUAGCCCAGCUCACUGCAGCCCCAUGCAACAUCUCAUCCCCUCUACUAACAGCAGACUGAAGCUGUAAGAGGCAGGUGUGAACGCCACUGACAUCACCUUCCACAGAGACUACGUCCUGAGUGGGCCUCUUACUGUGCUCAAUGCCCUGUGAGUUGACCCAGCUGAAAUUGGUAAAUAAUACAGCUCUUUGCUUAUCAGAACACGCAAAGCCCUCACAAAGUGGAUUCCACGUUACUUUGCCGGGAAUGGCUGCUCCAGUUUCUGUAGAUCAGAGAUCUUGUGAAAACCUUGUGAAAUAACAUCCGGAAUACUGAAGUCCUGAAGAUGAUGAAGAUCCAGGGGUCCACUAUGGAAAUCACAGACAGGAAACGCAAGGCUUGGAGGUCUUCUGAGUCUCCUUUAGCUCUGUUCUCAAGUUUAAAGGCUCCAUAGUACGCACGAUACUGUUGGGGAGGAAAAAUCGUCACACAGAUAAAGAUAAAGAAGGCUGACAGAAGGAAGGAAUUCCAUCAUUUUAUUUGUCUUAGCCUGGAAUUCUCACCCUAUGGCUGAUGGGUGUGGAUGAGAAGCCUGAAAAGAGGAGCCUGAGAGACAUCGGGAGGCCCAUCUGACUGCCUCCCUCAGGGCUGUUCUGCAUUCUCAGGUUUCCAGGACUUUAUGAGACUACAAAGACCCCAGGCUUCCCCACACAAAAUCUUUAGCUAGUGUCCUUACAUGCAUACUUUAUUCAGUCCUGCCUACCUUAUGCCCACUGUUAUUAGUUUACUUAGCAGUGACUACCAUAUGUAUGGACACACCAGUGGAAUGGGGUUUUGAAUAGAAGUAAAAAGAUAGGAAAUAUGAUCAUUAAAAUUCAUGAGGUGACCAGAUGAACGUCCUGGCCAUCUCACAUAAACUGAUCCUUUUACUAAGGUAGAUUCUAUGUAAAAUGGGAGUAGGAGGUACCCAAAUAUAGAUGUCUACUUACCUGUGCCCAGCCUCCUUCUAUGCCUUGAUGUCACCUGGGUCCCUGCAGUUUCCUCAGAGCUCUGUGAAGUGCCUCAAAUCAUGACUCUCCCUGCUGACCUUCAGGUCACACUGCUACCUAGAUUGGCACAACUCCAGACCACCAUCUGAGGCUGGAUGCUUUUUCUUAUGGCAUUAGACUUCCCCUGCCUACUAGAUCCUAAAUCCACAAUGAAACAAAUUAACUCUAAUGGAACCCAAACUUCAGAAAUCCAAUAUUAGUGGAAUAGUUGUGGUUAAGAGCACUGAAGGCCACCCAGGAACAUGUCUCAGAAAAGAUGCACGUUCCUAGAACCAAUCUUCUUAGCCUCUGACUCCCUUCUGUGCAUCAUUUCAGAGCAUGAGGAAGUUGUUUUACAUCACACUCAUCUGAUACUGAUAUAUGUCUCUCUUUAUUCCUGCUUCAUAAUGCCAAUAGUAAUAAUACUGACUAGUGACUACUUAGACCCUCUACUUCCUUGGCAUGGUUCUAUGUCUUUUAAGGGUUCCCUGUUCUUACAAAAGGCUGUGUGUGAAGACAGUCAUUGCCUUCCUUUUACAAACCUGGAAAUGGGUUAAACAGACAAAAAGCACCGUCCUUCAGAUCAGCUUCAAAUAUUAUCCCUUUUAGGAGCCUCACUGAGAUGGUGGCUAAAGGUCUAAGCAUCCAGGUUAGAGUCCUCUCUUCAGACACAUGGCUUUUAGGGAAGAUGUGGUUUUCCUAGUUUUACAGGAAGGUCAUUGUGCCUGGUUUCCAGGAUUCUCAGGAAGUCAGAAUGAGGUGGUGUGAAGAAAGCUUCAAGAACAGGUUCUGGUAUAUUAUAAACACUUGAUAAUUAACUUGUGUAUUAUUUUCUCAACCAGAAGGUGGCCCUUUAAUCUUCCAAGUUCUCCUUUAGCCUUCACCAUUCUUUUCCCUUGUAGCCUGUGAAGAUGCAUAGGAUGUUUCUCUCAUCUUUAUCUCACUCAGGUACAGAGUGUGCUGGAUAGGGUAGGUAGGAAGAGGUCUGAUAUCUACUGUAAGGAUAUGGCUCAGACCACAACCUUAUAUUGAUUUUAAAACCAAAGAUUUCACAGAUGUAGUAUAUAUUUGUUAGUUUCCUCCUCACGGAGGAAUGUGAUGAAAUGUAAUUCCAACCAAAAUUCCAACCAUGCAAGAAAGCUUGAUAAAGGAAUGGGUCUUUUAUAAUUAAAUAAAAACUUUUUAUUCUUUUGC
rnacentral:lncRNA from 1 species